rnacentral:rRNA from 1 species
UACGUAGGGACCGAGCGUUGUCCGGAUUCAUUGGGCGUAAAGAGCUCGUAGGCGGCUGUUCAAGUCGAACGUGAAAACUCGGGGCUUAACUCCGGGCCUGCAGUGGGUACGGGCAGACUAGAGUGCGGUAGGGGAGACUGGAAUUCCUGGUGUAGCGGUGAAAUGCGCAGAUAUCAGGAGGAACACCGGUGGCGAAGGCGGGUCUCUGGGCAGUAACUGACGCUGAGGAGCGAAAGCGUGGGGAGCGAACAGG